CCGGUAAACGGCGGCCGUAACUAUAACGGUCCUAAGGUAGCGAAAUUCCUUGUCGGGUAAGUUCCGACCUGCACGAAUGGCGUAAUGAUGGCCAGGCUGUCUCCACCCGAGACUCAGUGAAAUUGAACUCGCUGUGAAGAUGCAGUGUACCCGCGGCAAGACGGAAAGACCCCGUGAACCUUUACUAUAGCUUGACACUGAACAUUGAGCCUUGAUGUGUAGGAUAGGUGGGAGGCUUUGAAGUGUGGACGCCAGUCUGCAUGGAGCCGACCUUGAAAUACCACCCUUUAAUGUUUGAUGUUCUAACGUUGACCCGUAAUCCGGGUUGCGGACAGUGUCUGGUGGGUAGUUUGACUGGGGCGGUCUCCUCCUAAAGAGUAACGGAGGAGCACGAAGGUUGGCUAAUCCUGGUCGGACAUCAGGAGGUUAGUGCAAUGGCAUAAGCCAGCUUGACUGCGAGCGUGACGGCGCGAGCAGGUGCGAAAGCAGGUCAUAGUGAUCCGGUGGUUCUGAAUGGAAGGGCCAUCGCUCAACGGAUAAAAGGUACUCCGGGGAUAACAGGCUGAUACCGCCCAAGAGUUCAUAUCGACGGCGGUGUUUGGCACCUCGAUGUCGGCUCAUCACAUCCUGGGGCUGAAGUAGGUCCCAAGGGUAUGGCUGUUCGCCAUUUAAAGUGGUACGCGAGCUGGGUUUAGAACGUCGUGAGACAGUUCGGUCCCUAUCUGCCGUGGGCGCUGGAGAACUGAGGGGGGCUGCUCCUAGUACGAGAGGACCGGAGUGGACGCAUCACUGGUGUUCGGGUUGUCAUGCCAAUGGCACUGCCCGGUAGCUAAAUGCGGAAGAGAUAAGUGCUGAAAGCAUCUAAGCACGAAACUUGCCCCGAGAUGAGUUC
rnacentral:rRNA from 1 species